CAAGAGAACUGCUGAAGCCAAUAGGAUGAAGAAUCCUUUGUAGUUUCUUUUUCCUAUGCAAUUGUUGAGCCACUACAUAACGCAACUACAGAAUAUUACUAAAAUAACAUUUCUUUAAAGGGACGGCAAUGUUUCAAACAACAUUAUGAUAAAUCUUACCCUACAGUGGUGGUCAAAGCCAUCGACACACUUGUUACAAACCCUACAAUGCUUACUGUGCUGCAAGACCUGCACAAAAUAGCCAUAGAUUUAUACUAACUCCAGUCACAAAUAAGUGACAAUUGUUCCAAAAUUUCACUACAAACACAUUGGGUUUGAGUCUUUGGAAAUCACACAAAUAGAUUUGUCUUGAAAGGCAGUUUCAUAAUGUAGACUUUUCUAUAUUUUAUAGAUAUAUGAUAAAAAUUCAACGUUUGGAACAUUGCUUCAGUUCCAGAAUGUAAGAUGUUUCAGUUCUGUCCUUAGUCAAACUUCUCUAACUUUGGUUGAGGUUAUAGAAAAUACAUAUUGACAUUUACAACCAAAUAAACACAUUUCCAAUUUUAUGGUGGAUAUGAAACUAAUUGAUGUUACAGUAAUGGUGCAUUUUCCUUAACUUAGUCUGUCAUGGGGCGGCAGCCCAGAACAUGGAGGCCCAUAGGGGUAAGCUCAUGAUUAGGAUUAGUGGAUAAAGAUUAGAUUAGAUAAGAUUGAGUUAGUUACAUGGGAUUAGAUUAUAUAAGAUUGAGUUAGUUAGUUACUUAGAAUUAGAUUAGAUAUAAUUGAGUUAGUUACUUGGGAUUAGAUUAGAUAAGAUUGAGUUCGUUACAUGGAAACCAAGUCUUUCUUCUAUCUAUAUAAGGAUUAGUUCCAGAUCUCUACAAUAGUCUAGUCCCCCCCCCCCAAGCUGACUCCGCCCGGCUAUCUUCCCGGCGCUGUUUAUCCCGUUAUGAACUAGGAUUCAUAACAUCGGGUAUCAUGAGCCAGGGAUCCUUUCCCAUGACUUCUGUUGCGGACGAUCUCCGCACCUGACGUGAGGAGCUCGCUCGUGCCAGGGCAGAUCUAGAGCAGGUCCGAUGUACUAUUGUCCAGCUCCGUAAUCUACUCGCAGCAAAGGUGGAGUUUGACCGCCGAUCAGCGGCGGCAACGCGACUAUAGGCGACUGCACGUGGCUUCCUAGCGCGGUGUCCAGUGCGGCAAGUUGCGGUAGCGACGCGGCUGCAGGCAGCGGCACACAGCUUCCUGGCUCGUCGUCAAGCACAACAAGUGGCAACGGCAGCGUGGCUACAAGCUGCGGUUCGCCAUUCCCUGGCACGGCGACUUGCAUCGCUAUUGCGCGUUGAACGACACGCAACACAUGGGGUGGCAAGGCCUUCAGCAGGGUUGGCCGAUCCUCCACUCUAGUUCACCGUUCUGAUCCAUAGCCAUGUGGACAACAAGAACACAUCUGGUUGGGUGGUGUUGUCUCCACUGGAACUCACGGCAACUCAGGGCGUAUGACUGGUAAGCUGCCACGUCUUGGCCUUUGUAGCCUGAAUGAGGUUGUUCCCAUGGGAUCCAGGGGGACCAACCUUGGCAUAUGUUAGGUUCUUUAUUUUAUUUGCAAAUAAAUUAAAGCAAAGAUGUAAAAGGCUUCUAGUUAGAGUUGCACUUUCACGUGCAAAUCAAGUUUGACAGCAAGGGUGUUAUCAUGCACCCCAUUACAGCUCGAGGACGAGUUGUCUUCGUAGGGUGGGGGAAUGUCAUGGGGCGGUAGCCCAGGGCAUGGAGGCCCAUAGGGGUAGGCUCAGAGUUAGAUUAGUGGAUAAAGAUUAGAUUAGAUAAGAUUGAGUUAGAUGGGAUUAAAUUAGAUAAGAUUUAGUUAGUUAGUUACUUGAGAUUAAUAAAUUAGAUAAGAUUGAGUUAGUUACUUGGUAUUAGAUUAGAUAAGAUUGAGUUAGUUACUUGGAGGCCAAGUAUUCCUAUCUAUAUAAGGAUGAGUUGUACCUCCUUAAGGGGAAAUCAAUAAAAUAAAAAUCAAUUCCAGAUCUCUCCAAUAGUCUAGCCCCCUCCAAGCCGACUCCGUCCGGCUAUCUUCCCGGCGCUGUUUAUCCCGUUAUGAAUUAGGAUUCAUAACAUAGUCAAAGCUAGAGAAAUUUGACUCAAACAACUUACUAUUUUAAAAGGAGGGGGUAGUUGACUUCUGAUAACCUCAAAACAUCACUUAUUUGUAAUCACAACUCAAAAAUGUUGUGGAGCUGUGACUAUUUUGUUGGUUUCGAAAGGUAUAUCAUCUGUUUGAUGAGAAAAAUUCAUUUAACAAUUGACUUAAGAGGAACUGCACACACGAGGGGCUGAAGAGGAAUAUUUCAAUGAUCAAAUUGCAACAUUGACUCAAUGUUGAAAGAGAGAUAAAUCUGGUGGCAUACCUCUGCUUUACACAAGCUGCAGAAAAACAUGCCUUCUUCACUUGUGUUCUGUUCUGAAGAUUGAUCAUCUGAGUGGAACCAUCUUUUGCAUAAGCAAGAAAACGGGAAGUAUAUCAAGCAAAGAACCCUGGUAAAUGUCAGAUGUAAAGAAAGACACAGAGGUGAAGUGCGCAAAAGGAAAUGAAGAUCUAAGUAACCACUCUAAAGAAGGAUCGAUCACACACACAAGAGGGCUGUUUGAAACAGAAGGGGGACAACACAAUGAUGUCAGCUGUUCACCAGUGGGGUAUAGAGGCCCAUGAGCAAAUACUGCAGCCUAUCUCCACCAACAAAGGGAACAAAGAAGACGUAGAAAGCGAAUCCGAGCGCCAGGAAGACCGCUAUCGCCACCACCUGCAGCACUUGCCCACAUCAGAAACAAGGCUGCAACAGCAAGGAAGUAGAACGCCACGGAGAAGCACGACGCAAGAAGCGGACCUGGAGAGGAUGGUAGGGUAGCUGCCACCCGUGCCUCCUCAUCGCCAACAAGGAAGGAAGGAGCCCUCAGAGAAAUGAGUCCGCCCCGAGGCAGGGAGUAAAUGGCGGCGGCGCUCGCAGCUGCCGGGGAGCACCAAAAUGCGAAAUCAAAGAGGGAAGCCUUCCGGUGGACCGUGGGUUAAAAUUAUUAACACACUGAUAGACAGUUGGCUAUAAAAUUAUUAGGUCCCGUCUGUUUUCUUUUAUUUUUAUGAAUUGAAAUCUUAUUAAUGAAAUAGGCAAUUUUUUUAGAACGUGACAUUUCACCAUUUUCUAAAGUUAUCAUAUAAAUCUAUCUCAAA